CAGCACUUUCAAAGUAAAUAUUUUGCUUAAGAAUCUUAUUAAAGAAAGUCUGUGCCUGCUUAAUGAUGCUUUCUCUGACGAGAAGAACGAGCCCUUCCCUGUAUCAUGGCAGUGCAGCAUCACUUUCGAGACCCUGGUGCUUGUUUCAAGGAGGAUAUAGCCACAGUAAAGACUGUCCCCCAGCUGCCCAGCCUGCCUGUGGUGCCUGCCCUGGGACAACAGUGGCCGAAAGGAAUAGUGGAGCAAGAGUUACUAGGACCUAGCAAGAUGUGGUAACUUCUUCAGCAAUAAUUGUGAAUGAUUUCUCACGAUGGUACAAGCCUGGGCUGUGAGUCUGUUUGAAGUGGAACAUGCUCAUGCUGAUUGCAGGGCUAGCAAUGCCUCUGCCCCUCUGGCGUAGAUUUGGAUAUUGGGCAAAGCCCACAACAGGAGGGCUCAGACAUCAGGCGGUAUCCAGUGAUCUUCUUGGAAGAGAAGACAUGAAGGAGCCAACUGCUAGAGUUGGACCACAGUAAAGCAGGACCAGCUGGGCUGUGGAGCUUGCAGGGCGACCUCCAUAUCUGCAGUUCCACCAGAGUUUGCUACAGGGAACAGGGUCUUGACCUUGGGCACUUGCCCAGCUAGGAGAGAUUUCAGGAGUUUGUGUCUCUUCUACCCUUGAAUUGCCAGGGGCCUCAGUACAGGGGAAAAGGUUUCACUGAAAGGUCCAACCAUAUUUGGAUGCCUGUGGACCUUCCGUCAAGGACGGUGUGACAUAUGGUGACCACAAAAUGACAAAACCUCUUUCUAAAAACUAUAGCGUUGUUACCUUUUCCAACAAGCAUUUAGAAAAGGUACAACUCUCCUCCAUCCUCCAAGUUAUCCAAAGAUCUGCCCUUUUGGCAAAUAAGGCAGCUCUAGUUUCUGCAGACACUACAGUAGUGAAUGCCAGAGUCUCGGUCUGGUGCCCCUGAACAGCUUCCCCAAGAUCUCCCUGGCUCUGAAAAGAAAGUCCUGCUGCUGCCAGCCAGAGCUCCUUUGUUCUACUCUGUUGUCAGACUUUUGGCUCUGUGUCCCCCAACCAGUUCAUUAGGCCCUGCAGGAAGCUGAACUGGGCUCCACCAAGCCCAUGACUUUCCCAUUGUCCUGUGUAAACUGCAGGGCUGGCUGAGUUUAAACCAUUUUUCUUCCCUUCUGAUUGUUUUCCUUACAGUUUGUUGUUAAACUUACCAAGUAUUUGUGCAAUAAACAAUUAUUAGGCCAAUAUACA
rnacentral:lncRNA from 1 species